rnacentral:rRNA from 1 species
AUUGAACGCUGGCGGCAUGCCUUACACACGCAAGUCGAACGCGAAAGGGGGGGCAACCCCCCAAGUAGAGUGGCGAACGGGUGAGUAAUACAUCGGAACGUGUCCUGUAGCGGGGGAUAACCUCUCGAAAGAGGAGGCUAAUACCGCAUACGACCUAACGGGUGAAAGAGGGGGAUCGCAAGACCUCUCACUAUUGGAGCGGCCGAUGUCGGAUUAGCUAGUUGGCGGGGUAAGAGCCCACCAAGGCGACGAUCCGUAGCUGGUCUGAGAGGACGACCAGCCACACUCGGAACUGAGACACGGUCCAGACUCCUACGGGAGGCAGCAGUGGGGAAUUUUGGACAAUGGGCGCAAGCCUGAUCCAGCCAUGCCGCGUGAGUGAAGAAGGCC